UCCUGCAUAGCUCAGUUGGUAGAGCGCGUCACUAGUACAUCAAUAUCGUGGAAAUAGGUCACGUAAUGACGAGGUCAGUCGUUCAAGUCGGCUUGUAGGAA
rfam:Daedalea quercina L-15889 unplaced genomic scaffold DAEQTscaffold_23, whole genome shotgun sequence.